GGAUUUGACCAUUCAAUACCUCAGUUCCAAUUUGAAUUUGCUGAUUAUGGAACAAUAGCUUCCCGUUGUUAUAACACAACUUACUUAACUAGUAAUUUAUAUUAUUUUACAAGCCAAGCACCUACUUUUACAGAGCUAAAAAAUAAUGCAAUUCAUAUCUUAAUACUGACUUUUAUUUUUUUUUAAAAUGUGAUCUUAACAGAUGUGAUUGGCAUAUUGGACUACAUUGGAGCCAUUGAGGAGAUCAAAACAAGAGGGCGUCCAACAAAGAUAAGAAACAUUCAACUGUUGUUAGAAGAGAACAAAUCUGUUCAAACAACUUUAUGGGGAAAUACUGCACAACAAAUAGAUGAUGAUUUCUACAAAACAAAUAAAGGGCCAUUCAUAGUAAUAGUGACUUCAACUAUAGUGAAAACUUUCAGAGGUCAAUAUCAACUAUCAUCCACUUUUGCAACAAAGCUGUAUGUAAAUUUAAACAUUCCAGAAGUUGCAGAAAUGAGAAACAAGUA